GCAUUACAUCAUACAAUAAUACAAAGUACAGACAAGUAUAACAAGUUAUGAUGUAGUACAAACAAGUAUAAUUGCAUUUUUUUAUAAUUCAUGAUUAUAAGAAUAAGAAAAUUACAUUUCAAACUAACAAUAAUGAUUUGUCCUUGAGCAUUACUACAAUCACACAAUGAUACCAAGUACAAACAAGUACAAUAAGUUAACACAAUACAUGAUAUCCUUUAUCAUACCAAGUAUUAGUGCAUCACAUACAAACCAUCAACAAAAUAAACACACAAUUAAGGUUAUAACACUACACAAUUAUUUUAAAGCAAACACAUAUAUAAUUAUUAAGUGAGAACCAUUAAUUCCCUUCCUUGAGCUUCAAUUUCCAUUUAACAGUUUCAAGGCCUUAUAUGAUCCAAGCUGCAUAAUUUUGCUUCCAGGCUUCAGAUAUGAUCAUGUAGAUCAAUCCUGGAC
rnacentral:lncRNA from 1 species